UACGAAGGGGGCUAGCGUUGCUCGGAAUCACUGGGCGUAAAGCGCACGUAGGCGGAUCCUUAAGUCAGGGGUGAAAUCCUGGAGCUCAACUCCAGAACUGCCUUUGAUACUGAAGAUCUUGAGUUCGGGAGAGGUGAGUGGAACUGCGAGUGUAGAGGUGAAAUUCGUAGAUAUUCGCAAGAACACCAGUGGCGAAGGCGGCUCACUGGCCCGAUACUGACGCUGAUGCGCGAAAGCGUGGGGAGCAAACAGG
rnacentral:rRNA from 1 species